CAUGUGGUUAAUGAUGCAUACUUUUUUCCCCGUCUUAUCGACCAUGGUGAGAGAACUGACAACUAAGCCAGUUUGUCUGAAACCACAUG
ensembl:snoRNA